AGGACGGUAGGUCAAUUGGCAGACUACCGGUCUCCAAAACCGGGGGUUGGGGGUUCGAAUCCCCCCCGUCCUGCCA
rnacentral:tRNA from 1 species